AUUUAAGCAUAUCAAUAAGCGGAGGAAGAGAAACUAACAAGGAUUCCCUCAGUAACGGCGAGCGAAGUGGGAACAGCUCGAGCCUGAAAUCACUGGCAGUCACUGCCAGGGAAUUGUGGCCGGGAGAGGCAGCGGUGCCCGGACUGAUGCUGUCGAAGUUGACCUGGAAAGGCACGUCAGAGAGGGUGAGAGCCCCGUGUGCGACACCGUCGGGAAGGGCCGCUACUGUCUUCGGAGAGUCGGGUUGUUUGGGAAUGCAGCCCAAAGUGGGUGGUAAACUCCAUCUAAAGCUAAAUACUUGCACGAGACCGAUAGCGAACAAGUACCAUGAGGGAAAGGUGAAAAGUACUUUGAAAAGAGAGUCAAAAAGACCGCAAAACCGUUAGGAGGGAAGCGAAUGCAGCUGAAGUAGCUCCCUUUCAGGCUCAGGAAGUGUCGRAUCGGCUUGCUGGCUGGCGGAAGCCGUAAGGCGCCGGCGGUUGGACGGCCGGUCGACUGCUCUGCACUCCUGGGGGGAGCUGGCCAACAACAGUUGCCUCUGGCUCACAAGGGCGGUUGGGCAGGUGGCCUCCUCUUCGAGGUGGAACUUACAGCCAUCCGUCUGGCAGUCCGGAGGCGACUGAGGAGAGUUGUGAACUUUCACACUUGCAGUGCAGGCCCUUCGGGGCCGGGCCGCCUCUUUCCGUUUGGGCACCGCUCCGGGGACUGCUUGCAGUGUCCGCUGACGAAUGUCUGCUCGGUGGGGGGAAUGGUCACGCCGUGUGCUGCAGUUGUUGGUGUCCAAAUGGCUGCAUCCGACCCGUCUUGAAAC
rnacentral:rRNA from 1 species